UACGUAGGCAGCAAGCGUUGUUCGGAAUUACUGGGCGUAAAGCGCGCGCAGGCGGUCCUUCAAGUCAGAGGUGAAAGCCCAGAGCUCAACUCUGGAACGGCCUUUGAGACUAGAGGACUUGGGUACGGGAGAGGUGAGUGGAAUUCCGAGUGUAGAGGUGAAAAUUCGUAGAUAUUCGCAAGAACACCAGUGGCGAAGGCGGCUCACUGGCCCGAUACUGACGCUGAGGCACGAAAGCGUGGGGAGCAAACAGGG
rnacentral:rRNA from 1 species